rfam:TPA: Bos taurus chromosome X, whole genome shotgun sequence.
UCCCUGAUGGCUGAGACUGUAAAGAAUCUGCCUGCCAUACAGGAGAUCCAGGUUCAAUCCCUGGGUUGGGAA